ensembl:snoRNA
CCUGGUCUAUGAUGAUUCCUGAGUCUGGAGACUGUUGGAUGAGUCCUGCGGAUAUGGGGCUGAGGCCAGGC